GCCGAGAUUGCCAACGAGGUCAAGGCGCCGCUCUGAAGAAGCGGUUAUGCGGGUUCGAUUCCUGCUCUCGGCACCU
rnacentral:tRNA from 2 species